GGCUCUUCCUUCUUCUUUGGCUCCUGUUUCUUGGGCUCUUCCUUCUUCUUUUCAGGCUCUUUUGCUGGUCCUACAGAAACUAUUUCUGUGUGGCAGAGCUUUCUCAGUUUGCCCACUAUAUGUACUGGAUCAACGUCCCCAGUUACCGUCAAUUUCUUGUCCUUCAUGUCCAGGGAGAUCGAUUCGACUCCUGAAAGGCCAGAAACUUUCUUCAUGGCUUUUUUCUUUUCUUUGUCAUCGUGUAGCUCCAAUUUCAACACUACUUUCUUCAUAU
rnacentral:misc_RNA from 1 species